rnacentral:rRNA from 1 species
CUUACGGGGGGCAGCAGUGAGGAAUAUUUGUCAAUGGCCGAGAGGCUGAACCAGCCAAGUCGCGUGAGGGAAGACGGCCCUACGGGUUGUAAACCUCUUUUGUCGGGGAGCAAAGCGAACCACGUGUGGUUCAUUGAGAGUACCCGAAGAAAAAGCAUCGGCUAACUGCGUGCCAGCAGCCGCGGUAAUACGGAGGAUGCGAGCGUUAUCCGGAUUUAUUGGGUUAAAAGUGUGCGCAGGCGGAGGGGCAAGUCAGCGGUCAAAUUGCGGGGCUCAACCCCGUACUGCAGUUGAAACUGCAUCCCUUGAGUGAGCGAGAAGUAUGCGGAAUGCGUGGUGUAGCAGUGAAAUGCAUAGAUAUCACGCAGAACUCCGAUUGCGAAGGCAGCAUACCGGCGCGCAACUGACGCUCAUGCACGAAAGCGUGGGUAUCGAAAAGGAUUAGAUACCCGGGUAGUC